GAUUCCUGACCCUGCCUCUUUAGGAUCCGCACGUUGCUGCCUUUCAGCCUCCAAACCUUCGCUCUGGCCGUUCUCUCCACCUGGAAUACCCUUCCGAGCCUCUCUUCACCUCCAUGUCAUUAACUCGCAUACAUCCUUUCAGAUAUUUCCUGAGGGCUUGUGAUUUGCCAGAUCCUGUACCAGGUGCUGGAACUUGGUGAUAGACAAUCCACAGUCUCUGCUCUGAAGACAUCCAUGCAGAGACAGGGUCUUGCCAUGUUGCUCCUCGCCUCAAGC
rnacentral:lncRNA from 1 species